rnacentral:rRNA from 1 species
GACAGAGGUGCCAAGCGUUAGGCGGAAUCACUGGGCUUAAAGCGUGUGUAGGCGGAUGUCUAAGUAUCUUGUGAAAUCCCAGGCUCAACCUGGGAACUGCGUCUGAUACUGGAUGGCUUGAAUCCGGGAGAGGGAUGCAGAAUUCCAGGUGUAGCGGUGAAAUGCGUAGAUAUCUGGAGGAAUACCGGUGGCGAAGGCGGCAUCCUGGACCGGCAUUGACGCUGAGGAGCGAAAGCCAGGGGAGCAAACGGG